AAACUUUCAACAACGGAUCUCUUGGUUCUGGCAUCGAUGAAGAACGCAGCGAAAUGCGAUAAGUAAUGUGAAUUGCAGAAUUCAGUGAAUCAUCGAAUCUUUGAACGCACAUUGCGCCCAUUAGUAUUCUAGUGGGCAUGCCUGUUCGA
rnacentral:rRNA from 1 species